UACAGAGGGUGCGAGCGUUAAUCGGAAUUACUGGGCGUAAAGGGCGCGUAGGUGGUCACUUAAGUCAGAUGUGAAAUCCCUGGGCUUAACCUAGGAAUUGCAUAUGAAACUGAGUGGCUAGAGUAUGGGAGAGGGAAGUGGAAUUUCCGGUGUAGCGGUGAAAUGCGUAGAUAUCGGAAGGAACACCAGUGGCGAAGGCGACUUCCUGGCCCAUUACUGACACUGAGGCGCGAAAGCGUGGGGAGCGAACAGG
rnacentral:rRNA from 1 species